rnacentral:misc_RNA from 1 species
CGUAUGUGGGGGUUUUGUUUUGGGCUCAGCUAUUGAGAAAUAUGGAUGUCACAUUAUCUGCAAUUCGUGGUACAAAUCAACAUGGAAGGGAUCUUAAUGCAAAUCGCAGUAUAGGCCUACCUCACGGAACGGAAAAGAUUGUACUGUCUCUUAUUGCGUCCCUCGGGACUAUUGCUUGCCUAGCGGGUCUACUGUUCACGGUAUUGACUUACACCAUGUUCAGGAAUCUGCGCCAAGAAGUUCCAUCCAAGAUAUUGCUGAAUCUGUGUGUGGCUCUCUUUCUAACACAUUUCAUUUUUGUUGUUGGUGUGCAGGAAUACAUAUUCAAGGAUGACAUUGCUUGUAUGAUUGUUGGCGUACUGAUGCACUAUUUCAUUUUGUCGGAGAUGGUGUGGAUGGCGGUGGACGCAAUGACGAUGUUCUUCUCGAUCGUCGUCGUCUACACGACAGAGACUCGCCAUCUCAUCUUCAAAGGCGUGUGCUUCGGAUGGGGUUUACCCUUGAUGAUCGUAGGAUUAUGCGUUGCUUAUGGACUGGCGCGCGGCUAUGGAUUGCCUGCAAAAGAAAUUUGUUGGGUCACGGAUGCACAGUUCUACUAUAAUUUCAUAAUACCGGUGGCCUUAAUCCUGAUGACGAACUGCAUCGUGAUUGCCAUUGUCCUGAACGCCACGUUUAGGGAAUCGGGAAAGGCGACCCUUAACCGGUUUGCCAAGGCCCAAAUACGCACCCGCCUGCAAGGGUCGGCCAUCAUCCUCCUCCUUCACAGUCUCACCUACGUGUUCGUCAUACUUGCCGCCGAGCAAGGCAGCGGCGUCGUCUUCUACUACCUCUUCACCAUAUCCAACUCGCUGCAGGGUCUGGUCAUCUUCGUGUUCUACUGUCUGCUUCAGAAGGACGCACGUGACGCUUGGAAAGCGAAGCUGGGAUACCGCACGCGGAAGCAAUCGUUAUACCCCGAUGCAAGCCAUAUCAUCAGCAGAACACCAAUUGUCUCACCUCAAACUAGUACUCGGGAGGAGCCUGGGGAGCAGUCUAAUCUAGUAUUUGACAACACCAGCGUUAAGAGGACAAAGAUUAUUUCAGAGGACAGCAUAUAACAACGCUGUGGUGCAGAAGAAACAAGGACUGUCAAAUAAAACAUUGUGUGCGUGUGUGGGUUUUUUUUCAAGUAUUUGUCAACAACAAAAUACGAAUACCUUGAUGGAUCUGGGAGGAGAUUCUGUAAUUUACAAUACAAACCAAACUAAUAGUAUGAAAAUGUUUAUAAUACCAUUUAUUUCACUUUAUUAAUA